rnacentral:rRNA from 1 species
GAGGAAAGCUGGCGGCGUGCCUAAUACAUGCAAGUCGAGCGAACGGACGAGAAGCUUGCUUUUCUGAUGUUAGCGGCGGACGGGUGAGUAACACGUGGAUAACCUACCUAUAAGACUGGGAUAACUUCGGGAAACCGGAGCUAAUACCGGAUAAUAUUUUGAACCGCAUGGUUCAUAAGUGAAAGACGGUCUUGCUGUCACUUAUAGAUGGAUCCGCGCUGCAUUAGCUAGUUGGUAAGGUAACGGCUUACCAAGGCAACGAUGCAUAGCCGACCUGAGAGGGUGAUCGGCCACACUGGAACUGAGACACGGUCCAGACUCCUACGGGAGGCAGCAGUAGGGAAUCUUCCGCAAUGGGCGAAAGCCUGACGGAGCAACGCCGCGUGAGCGAUGAAGGUCUUCGGAUCGUAAAACUCUGUUAUUAGGGAAGAACAUAUGUGUAAGUAACUGUGCACAUCUUGACGGUACCUAAUCAGAAAGCCACGGCUAACUACGUG